AACACGGAGAGUUUGAUCCUGGCUCAGAACUAACGCUGGCGGCGCGUCUUAAACAUGCAAGUCGAGCGGAGUAGCAAUACUUAGCGGCGAACGGGUGAGUAACACGUGGGUAAUCUUCCUCCGAAUCUGGGAUAACUUUCCGAAAGGAAAGCUAAUACCGGAUAGUUCUAUUGGAUCACAGGAUUUGAUAGAUAAAGGU
rnacentral:ncRNA from 1 species